rnacentral:rRNA from 1 species
AGAGUUUGAUCCUGGGCUCAGAACGUACGCUGGCGGCACGCCUAACACAUGCAACGUCGAACGAAGUAGCAAUACUUAGUGGCAGACGGGUGAGUAACAUGUAGGUAUCUGCCCUUUGGCCUGGAAUAACACGAGGAAACUUGUGCUAAUACCGGAUAAGUCUUUACGGAGAAAGCUUUAUGCACCAUUGGAUGAGCCUGCACUUGAUUAGUUUGUUGGUGGGGUAACUGGCCUACCAAGACUGUGAUCAAUAGCUGAUUUGAGAGGAUGAUCAGCCACAUUGGGACUGAGCACACGGCCCAAACUCCUACGGGAGGCAGCAGUGGGGAAUCUUGCACAAUGGAGGAAACUCUGAUGCACGCGAUGCCGCGUGAGUGAACGAAGGCCUUUGGGUUGUAAAGCUCUUUCGUCGGGGAAGAAAAUGACUGUACCCGAAUAAGAAGGUCCGGCUAACUUCGUGCCAGCAGCCGCGGUAAUACGAAGGGACCUAGUCGUAGUUCGGAAUUACUGGGCUUAAAGAGUUCGUAGUGGUUGAAAAAGUUGGUGGUGAAAUCCCAUGGACGCCUUAACUCUGGAACUGCCAUCANAAGACUUUUCAGCUAGAAGUAUGAUAUGAGGAAAGCAGUAAUUUCUAGUGGUAGAGGUGGAAAUUCGGUACAUCUUAGAACAGAAUACCAAUUGCGAAGGCAGCAUUUCUGGUAUCAUUACUGACAGCUGAGAGAACGAAAGCAUGGUGUACUCGACAGAGGAUUAUGAUAGCCCUACGUAGUCCAUGCCGUAUGCCGACUGCUGUGUUACGACGUUGCGCAAAUUUACUUUUCCUGUGUCGCAUGCGAAAGCGAUAAGACUACGCCGCCUGGGGAGUACGACCGC